AUGGAUCGUUGCUUGUUAUUGUUUAAAACAAAAAAGAGGAUAUUCAACAGAAUACUGUAUUCUGCACAAUCAAGUAAUCGAACAAAAAUGGAUAAGUUUACUCGUGAAAUUGAUUUUAAAAUCCUCAACGAAAGAUUCAUUGCAAGCGAACAUUUAUUUGUCACCGAUGAUUGGGAAGAUUUAAGUUAUACCAGUCAUUACGGAUUAUU